rnacentral:rRNA from 1 species
CCUACGGGGGGCUGCAGUGGGGAAUAUUGAACAAUGGGGGGAACCCUGAUCCAGCCAUGCCGCGGGUGUGAAGAAGGCCCUCGGGUUGUAAAGCACUUUCAGUGAGGAAGAACGCCUGGUGGUUAAUACCCAUCAGGAAAGACAUCACUCAUAGAAGAAGCACCGGCUAACGCCGUGCCAGCAGCCGCGGUAAUACGGAGGGUGCGAGCGUUAAUCGGAAUUACUGGGCGUAAAGCGCGCGUAGGUGGCUUGAUAAGCCGGUUGUGAAAGCCCCGGGCUCAACCUGGGAACGGCAUCCGGAACUGUCAAGCUAGAGUGCAGGAGAGGAAGGUAGAAUUCCCGGUGUAGCGGUGAAAUGCGUAGAGAUCGGGAGGAAUACCAGUGGCGAAGGCGGCCUUCUGGACUGACACUGACACUGAGGUGCGAAAGCGUGGGUAGCAAACAGGAUUAGAUACCCUGGUAGUC